rnacentral:misc_RNA from 1 species
UGGUCAACGUGUUAGUUGUGGGCGGUGGCAUUCAUCUUCAGCUAUUUGUAUUACCUGCCGGUCACCGGUAGUAGUUGUGUAAUGAAUAGUUGUGAUCUUUGUACAAGGUAGGACACUAUCACCUCCAGUUAGCCUAUCUUAUAAUUAUACAUCAGACAACAUACUGUGGUAAAAAAAAUGGAUCCGCUUGGAAUACUAACAGGACCAUACACACUGAAGUCUGUCAAGCCUUGUGAUCUAUCAUCAUGCACAAAAAAGGAUAUAUUGGAGUAUUUUGAAAACAGUUACAGCCUCAAUGAAAGCAUAUUCACAUCCCUCAAAGAGGAACGUGUGUUAAAUGUAUGUCCUGAUAGACUCCGUCUCCCCCUUGUUUUUUACUUGGCACACACCGCAACAGUUUACGUGAACAAACUGAUGCUGGCUGGUCUCAUCAAGGAGAGAGUGGACAUGGAAUUUGAGACUUUAUUUGAAACUGGAGUAGAUGAGAUGUCUUGGGAUGACACGGAGAACUACAGGAUGGGUGGAAGUUUUAAGUGGCCAUCGUUAAAGGCUGUUGCGUCUUACAGGUUAAAAGUUCGCAAUCUUAUCCGCAAAGUCAUCGAGGAAACUCCAUUAGAGCUUCCUAUCACUAUGGAUAGUCCAUGGUGGGCAGUGUUGAUGGGCAUUGAUCAUGAGAGAAUUCACAUAGAGACAUCGUCUGUCCUUAUACGUCAGCUACCGAUAGAAAUGAUUUGUGUCCCACAAGAUUGGAAAAACGCUCCAAGAAAACAUAAAAAUGGAGCUGGAAAAAAUGCCUUUAUUUGCACCAAAGCAACUGAUGUUACAUAUGGUAAGCCUGUGGAUUUCCCUUCUUACGGCUGGUAUAACGAGUACCCUCAAACAACUGCUAAGGUACCGGCAUUCAAAGCCACCAAGUAUCUUAUUACCAAUCAAGAGUUUUUGGAGUUUGUUGAAGACGGUGGCUACGAAAAGAAGGAAUUGUGGUCCAAUGAAGGUUGGACAUGGAGGUGUUUUCGAGAUGCUAAACAUCCAACGUUUUGGGUGUGCUCAUGUGGUUGCAAGUCUGGCUGUGGCAGCAUCCUUUCUGGAUACUCCCACUGCAAGCCUGCAGACAUUUCAAAUGGUCAAGAAAAUGGAAAUAUGAAUGGUCAAGUAAAUGGACACACAAAUGGAGUGAAUGUUAAUGGAAAUGGCCACAUCCUAAACAACAAUGGAUAUGGAUAUCGGACGAUGACCGAGGUGAUUGACUUGCCUGGCGAUUGGCCGGUAGAUGUUAAUUACCAUGAGGCUAAAGCCUAUUGUGCUUGGAAAGGGCCUGAAUACCGCCUACCCAGUGAAGCGGAACACAAAGUGAUGCAAGGAAACCAGGUUGAUCCCGAUGUUGGUGUCUCGUGUGAUCCUUUAUUUUGUGAUGGAUUCAAAGAGAAAUUCAACUCCAAUAUGGUUUUCAACUCUUCCAGUCCUGUGAAUAUGUUCCCAGCAAAUGAGGCUGGUUUUCAUGAUAUGUAUGGCAAUGUGUGGGAGUGGUCGGAAGAUCAUUUUAACGGAUUUCCCAACAGUGAUACGCAUCCAUUAUAUGAUGACUUCGCCACACCAACCUAUGAUGGAUUUCAUAAUGUCAUAAUGGGAGGCUCGUGGGCUUCAACAGGACAGCAAGCAUCCAGAUUUGGCCGCUUUGCCUUCCGGCGUCACUUCUUCCAACAUUUGGGAUUCCGACUGGCUUGCAAUAUUGAUCCCUCCGAUAUUCCACCAAUCCACCUGAUUGACUCUGAAGUACACAUUCUGUCCUUUGGUCACAAAGAAAACCCAUCUUUGUUGCCUGUUGUCCAUAAGAGUAUGUUCUUCCCAAGUACAAAUAAAGAGUAUUUGAAUGACAACCCCGAUGAAAUGCUCUAUAAACAAUACGGCAUCAGUGUCAACAAUUACUACGAUAAUCUGGCUGAGUUCAUCGAUGGGGCGGUGAAAAAUUACAUCGAUCAAUUCCAAUCCACACUUGUCCUUGGAUGUGCAACUGGAAGGCUGGCAUUCCAUCUGGCUCAAACAUUUUCCAAGGUGAUUGGUGUUGAUUACAGUAGUCGGUUUCUUGAGGCAGCGAUUGCGUUACAAAACACAGGCACAUUAGAUUAUCCAGAAUACAGACCAAAGGGCGUUAGCAGCACUAAGAAGUUACGAAUUAAUGAUUCCUGGAGCAAAAGGAAGGCGAUUGUUCCUCAUAAAAUUGACAGAAGCAGAGUUGUAUUUAAGCAGUUAACAUGGAUUCCAAAUGAGCUGAUGGAUUUCAAUCUCGUCGUUCUUGAUUUCUUAGACCGAGUCAUGAACAUAGAAGACUUAGUUGUUCGUCUAUGAAACCUACUACCUUAGAUACAUCUCUGCAAGUUGUGGGUGCCUUAACCAUAUUAAUCCCUAAAAUGAAAAUGGUUUUUAUCACUGAACAAUAUGAAGCCAUCUAAUCGAUCAACAUCAUUGUUAUUGACUAAAUUUUGGCAUGCAUUCAUAUGGAUGCAAGAGAAUUUAUAUAAGAUUGGCUAAAUGCCUUUGUCCUUAGAGUGAAUCUGUCUGGUGGUGGUCAAACAAGAGUGAUAUAAACUAUUUUCAACCUGGGGACGAAGUUGCUGAACUUUUCAUCCCUGCAAGUCCAAAAUUGCAAUAUGUCUAAAACUUGGCUCCUGAGGCUUUGGGAGAUAAUUGUACCGUGUGGACUGAUUAUUAUUACAUCACCAACUGAGUGGAAUGAAGAAAGACUCUACAAAGUUAUCGGAAAGAAGCUGCAAUGUGUUGAUU